AUUUGCUUUCUGACACUAGCAACAGGAAUAGUAAAUAUUUUUGCAUAAAAGUUCAGGAGCUAUGAAGAACACAAAAGUAUCAAAAGCCCAACACAGUAUUGCAUCAGGAACAGUGUGGCCAGCAGGUCCAGGGAAGUGAUUCUUCCCCUGGACUCAGCGCUGGUGAGGCCACAUCUCGAGUACUGUGUCCAGUUCUGGGCCCCUCAGUUCAGGAAGGAUAUUGAGGUGCUGGAGCAGGUCCAGAGGAGAGCAACCAGGCUGGUGAAGGGACUCAAGCACAAGUCCUAUGAGGAGAGGCUGAGGGAGCUGGGGCUGUUCAGCCUGGAGAAGAGGAGGUUCAGGGGAGACCUCAUCACUCUCUACAACUACCUGCAAGGAGGUUGUAGCCAGGUUGGGGGUUGGUCUCUUCUCCCAGGCAACUGUCAGCAAGACAAGAGGGCAUGGUCUCAAGUUGUGCCAGGGGAGGUUUAGGUUAGAUAUUAGAAAGCACUUCUUUACAGAGAGGGUGGUCAGACAUUGGAAUGGGCUGCCCAGGGAAGUAGUAGAUUCUCCAUCCCUGGAGAUUUUUAAAAAGAGACUGGAUGUGGCACUUAGUGCCAUGGUCUAGUAACCGCAGUGGUAGUGGAUCAAGGGUUGGACUUGAUGAUCUCGAAGGUCCCUUCCAACCCAGCUGAUUCUGUGAUUCUGUGAUCUCACAAGUUGGUGGGAGUGAAGUGACUUUAUGAUUGAAGUCCACCAGACUUCCUAAGCUAAGCAGAGGAGUUUCAUCAGGUAUGAGUGCCAUAAAACUACAUUACUGUAGGUGAUUCUGUUAAAUCUUUCGGCAUGAUGUACAAUGAGACUCAGUGAAGCGGGGCUGAUCAGUCUUAGGAGGAGACUAAAGUAACAUCUUACUGUGGACUUCAAUUGCCUAAGAGAAAAUAGAGCCAGAGUCUUCUUAUUUUUAGGAGUGACUUCAAAGAAAGAGAUAAUGAAGAAUAGCUGAAGAAAACAUGCCUCUCCAAUGAUCUGUGACUAGUUCAAUAAAAGCUGGCAGUCAUCAUUCAGGAAGACAAAGCAUUUGCGUUUUGCAACCUAAAUACAGUAAAAAUUCUACAUUUUCUGUUGACUUAGAAAUUACAUCUGAAAGUUGAUCAAUAAACUCAACAGACUCUA